GUGCCAGCCGCCGCGGUAAUACGGAGGGUGCGAGCGUUGUCCGGAAUCACUGGGCGUAAAGGGCGCGUAGGCGGCUUCUCAAGCGUGUGGUGAAAGUCCGGGGCUCAACCCCGGAUCGGCCGUGCGGACUGGGGAGCUCGAGUUCUGUAGAGGCGGGUGGAAUUCCGGGUGUAGCGGUGGAAUGCGUAGAGAUCCGGAAGAACACCGGUGGCGAAGGCGGCCCGCUGGGCAGAGACUGACGCUGAUGCGCGACAGCGUGGGGAGCAAACAGGAUUAGAAACCCCCGUAGUCC
rnacentral:rRNA from 1 species